UGAGCACUUUGAGCAUCUUACUGAACCAGUGUGGUCUGAAGUGUUUGGAAAAGGCCCUACAAUCACAUAACAUUAUGCUGAAUGAGUUUGGACAUUUGUUAACUUCAUCUUUUUACUUUUUCUUGCAGCAGAAGUGGUGAGGAUGGCUCGGUGAGGCAGUUAUCAUGGAUGCUCAGGAAGAAUGAAGCUUUAAUGGUCUGUGUGAAGAAGAAUCAUGGAAAAUCAAGACGAAACUCAGUUAAUACUCACACAUUGACUCGGUCAGCAGUUCCUGCUCUGUAUUUAUUAAACUUGCUUCCUGAAACGGGCCCAUGGACACAAGCACUCGGGUUGAACUCUGAAUGUAAAAAGGGAUACCAAGCGUGUAACUGGAGCCCUGGGUCAUCAGUGAUUUAACCAGUCAUCUCAGUGGUGGGUGAUGAUUUCUAGAAUUUAUGUCAGUUGUUGAUGUUUGGAUGCUUCAGGUUCAUGUUAUUACUGUUAAUGUGCUGAUAUUGUGUUUCCAAUUGUAACUUGGAAAAAAAAACACCAUUUGUGCAUUACCUUGGUGACUUUGUUUACACAGUAUUUUUGCAUUCCAUGUAAAAUGAUGAUCAACACUGGUAUCUGAAAUACCAGUCUAAUAAAGAUGCUCUAAUAUAUAAA